UGUGUCGGAUGUACUUUGAUAGUCAAGUUUGAAAGUGCGGUAGAGUACCAAUCGCUGACUCGCUGUGAGCAAAAAUGAAAUUAUGAUUUUUCUUUAGAUACUAAGGUGGAAAUGUUCAAUUGUGUAGUGAUAUGCUAGUGGAAAAGUGUUACUUCUUUUCAAAGAGAAAUUAGCGAUGGCAAAAUAAAUGUGCUGGAAACGUGGCUACACGAAUUGCCCGAAUAAUUCAGAUUUGAUCAAGAAAAAUUUACAUAAUUUCAGUGGUUUGUCAUUAAAAUUAAAAAAAAAAAUAGUGAUUCGAAGCUUAUAAUCGUAGAUAGUGUUAAAAAGUGCAAACGAUAAAUAGAGGAAAGAUACGUUUAAAAUAUAUGUAUGCAAUAGAUAUAUUAUACGCUAAUAUUCUGCUUUUCAACUCAGCUGUUAAAUUGCUAUUUCAAAACCUAUACGCUUGCUACGGCGUAAUACUCGUUAAGAUACAAACGAAGGCAGCUUGAUAUUAUGACGUAUAAUUGAGAGGAAUAAGGAAAUAUUCAACUGGCAUAUAUAAAAAUGCAACUAUAAAAACGCACACAUAAUGAAGAUAAUCAUAGUGCCAGCCGCAUUGAUAAGCUGCCAAAAGUUGUACGUUCCGUUGUGAUAAAUAAUUGCGAAGAGUGUGAAAUCGAUUAGUGGUUAAUAUAUGUACAUCGUGGUAGUAGAACGACCAUUUGGGAUUAGCUAAGGGAACUUAACAGCCUGUGAUUCAAUCAUACGAAAAAGACAUGUGGGAGAGCCGCUACGCAAUACAAACUUAUAAUUUUGAAGUGGAUGCUGCAAAUAAUAUACCGGAUACUAAGGAAGUGGAAAUAUUUGUGAUUCGUGACCAUACAACUAAGUUUAAUUUAGUAAAAAAGCACACAUUUCGAGAGGAAAUCUAAAAAAAUUUUCCUGAGAGUCACAAA